rnacentral:rRNA from 1 species
UACGUAGGGUGCAAGCGUUGUCCGGAAUUAUUGGGCGUAAAGAGCUCGUAGGCGGUCUGUCGCGUCUGCUGUGAAAACUCAGGGCUCAACCUUGGGCUUGCAGUGGGUACGGGCAGACUAGAGUGCGGUAGGGGUGACUGGAAUUCCUGGUGUAGCGGUGGAAUGCGCAGAUAUCAGGAGGAACACCGAUGGCGAAGGCAGGUCACUGGGCCGCAACUGACGCUGAGGAGCGAAAAGCAUGGGGGAGCGAACAGG